rnacentral:rRNA from 1 species
UACGGGAGUGGCAAGCGUUAUCCGGAAUUAUUGGGCGUAAAGCGUCCGCAGGCGGUCUGUCAAGUCUGCUGUUAAAGCGUGGAGCUUAACUCCAUUAAGGCAGUGGAAACUGACAGACUAGAGUGUGGUAGGGGCAGAGGGAAUUCCCGGUGUAGCGGUGAAAUGCGUAAAUAUCGGGAAGAACACCAGUGGCGAAGGCGCUCUGCUGGCCCAUAACUGACGCUCAUGGACGAAAGCCAGGGGAGCGAAAGGGAUUAGAUACCCCUGUAGUCCUGGCCGUAAACGAUGAACACUAGGUGUCGGGGGAAUCGACCCCCUCGGUGUCGUAGCCAACGCGUUAAGUGUUCCGCCUGGGGAGUACGCACGCAAGUGUGAAACUCAAAGGAAUUGACGGGGGCCCGCACAAGCGGUGGAGUAUGUGGUUUAAUUCGAUGCAACGCGAAGAACCUUACCAGGGUUUGGCAUCCUGCGAAUCUCUUGGAAACGAGAGAGUGCCUUCGGGAACGCAGUGACAGGUGGUGCAUGGCUGUCGUCAGCUCGUGUCGUGAGAUGUUGGGUUAAGUCCCGCAACGAGCGCAACCCACGUCGUUAGUUGCCAGCAUUUAGUUGGGCACUCUAGCGAGACCGCCGGUGAUAAACCGGAGGAAGGUGUGGAUGACGUCAAGUCAUCAUGCCCCUUACAUCCUGGGCUACACACGUACUACAAUGCUACGGACAAAGGGCAGCAAACUCGCGAGAGCUAGCAAAUCCCAUAAACCGUGGCUCAGUUCAGAUCGUAGGCUGCAACUCGCCUACGUGAAGGAGGAAUCGCUAGUAAUCGCAGGUCAGCAUACUGCGGUGAAUACGUUCCCGGGCCU